UUUUCAUUGAGAGUUUGAUCCUGGCUCAGGAUGAACGCUGGCGGCGUGCUUAACACAUGCAAGUCGAACGGACUACUUCGGUAGUUAGUGGCGGACGGGUGAGUAACGCGUGGGUAACCUGCCC
rnacentral:rRNA from 1 species